UGGGGAAUUUUGGACAAUGGGCGAAAGCCUGAUCCAGCAAUGCCGCGUGUGUGAAGAAGGCCUUCGGGUUGUAAAGCACUUUUGUCCGGAAAGAAAUGGCUCUGGUUAAUACCUGGGGUCGAUGACGGUACCGGAAGAAUAAGGACCGGCUAACUACGUGCCAGCAGCCGCGGUAAUACGUAGGGUCCAAGCGUUAAUCGGAAUUACUGGGCGUAAAGCGUGCGCAGGCGGUUGUGCAAGACCGAUGUGAAAUCCCCGCGNUUAACUUAGGAUUGGCAUUGGUUGACUGCACGGCUAGAGUGUGUCAGAGGGGGGUGAGAAUUCCAUCGUGUAGCAGUGAAAUGCGUAGAGAUGUGGAGGAAUACCGAUGGCGAAGGCAGCCCCCUCGGUGUAAUACACUGACGCUCAUGCACGAAAGCGUGGGGAGCAAACAGGAUUAGAUACCCUGGUAGUCCACGCCCUAAA
rnacentral:rRNA from 1 species